GACGAACGCUGGCGGCGUGCUUAACACAUGCAAGUCGAACGCUGAAGCUCAGCUUUUGUUGGGUGGAUGAGUGGCGAACGGGUGAGUAACACGUGAGUAACCUGCCUCCUUCUUUGGGAUAACGCCCGGAAACGGGUGCUAAUACUGGAUAUUCACUGGUCUUCGCAUGGGGGUUGGUGGAAAGGGUUUUUCUGGUGGGGGAUGGGCUCGCGGCCUAUCAGCUUGUUGGUGGGGUGAUGGCCUACCAAGGCUUUGACGGGUAGCCGGCCUGAGAGGGUGACCGGUCACAUUGGGACUGAGAUACGGCCCAGACUCCUACGGGAGGCAGCAGUGGGGAAUAUUGCACAAUGGGCGCAAGCCUGAUGCAGCGACGCCGCGUGAGGGAUGGAGGCCUUCGGGUUGUGAACCUCUUUCGCUCAUGGUCAAGCCGCAACAAUAGUUGUGGUGAGGGUAGUGGGUAAAGAAGCGCCGGCUAACUACGUG
rnacentral:rRNA from 1 species